UGGGUACCUGCAUUUCACUGGAAUGGGUUC
rnacentral:piRNA from 1 species